GGGGGAGGGGACUCAAUUUUAUUAUAAUUAGAAACAAAUGAGUUAUUCCUGCAACAAGUGCAUUUUUCUAAGUAGCAACAGAAGCAAGGAGGAACAGGCUCACUGACUGUUAAAAUGCUGUGCUUUGUGAAGGCAAUGAGACAAGUCACAGAUUUACUGCAUAUCACUUAAUGGAAUCAAGGGCCUUGUACCCAGAGUAUAUAAAGAAGAAUGAUCAUAAUUUGACAACAGUGAAGCAAACAACCCAUCUUAAAAAGUGGAUUACAAAUAAGCAUGGGAAAUUGUGCUCAGCCACAGUCUAUGGUCUUUAUGGAAAUACAAUAUUAAAGCUUCAGUGAGAUAACCCUGAAAAUUAUCAUGAAGAUGGAUAAAGCAUUAAAUUAAAACCUUGUAACAGCCAGCACUUCAAGGAGGCAGAAUGACUGCAACCCUCAUGUGCCCGAGGUGGGAAUGCAAAGUGGCCCAACUGCUCUGAAGAACAAACUUCAUAGCCUUAUAAACACACAUAUGAUUUAUGACUCAGUGUAUGGGAUAUUUAAGUUCACAUAAAUCUGCACACAAAAAUAUACAGCAAUUUUACCUCUAGUUGCACCAAACAAGUUAUAACCAAGAUGGCAACAGUGAAAUGAAUAAAGAAAUCGUGGUGUGUCUAUCUGUCCCACCUAUGCAGUGGAAUAAUGUCCAGCAAUCAACUAGAAUAUUGGAGGAUCCUGGGACAGAUAAUAGACUAUGGAAAAUGGGAGGUCUGGAAUGGCGAAUGUAGCCUCAGGCGUGGCAACUGCCCCAGCUGGGACUACCCACUGCCAAGUUUCACCCUCUCUCAAGAGAACCAAAACCAGACUGUACGCAGCAUCUUCCUUCUCAGCCAAAGGGCCUACUCGUUAGGGUGAUUUGCAUUGUACUUAAGCAUUGAAAAAAAAAAAAGACUGGAAGGAAAUAGAUCAAAAUGUGGUAUGUUUGCCUGUGGAUUAAAGGACUUCAAA
rnacentral:lncRNA from 1 species